GACCCCUUUAACCGUAUUGAGAAUUUCUAUAACCAUAUAGAACUUUUUAUGCUAAAACUAAUAACAAGAGGAAAACCCUCUCCUUAAUGCAAGUGUAAGCCAGCAAGAACCCACCACUGGCAACUAACAGACCCCCACAAAGCAGCAACCCUCACCCUAGAGAACCCUACUUCCUACUACUGUUAACCUAACACAAGAGCAUUUCAAGAAAGAUUAAAAGAAAAAGAAGGAACUCGGCAAACAUUAGCCCCGCCUGUUUACCAAAAACACCGCCUCUUGACCCUAUAAGAGGUCCAGCCUGCCCAGUGACCCUGUUCAACGGCCGCGGUAUUCUAACCGUGCAAAGGUAGCGUAAUCACUUGUUUUCUAAAUAAAGACUAGUAUGAAAGGCACCACGAGGACUAAGCUGUCUCCUUUUUCCAAUCAGUGAACCUAAUCUCCCCGUGAAGAAGCGGGAAUUAAAAUAUAAGACGAGAAGACCCUGUGGAGCUUAAAACACAAUAACACUUGCCCACACACCCUAAUUACCCCGGUACUUCACCCGAGCGGCAUUAUGAUUAUAUGUUUUUGGUUGGGGUGACCGCGGAGAAAAACUUAUCCUCCACAAUGAAAGGGACUCCCCCUAAACUAUAAGUCACAACUUUAAGCAUCAAAAAAUUGACAUCCAUCGACCCAACAAGUUGAUCAAUGAACCAAGUUACCCCAGGGAUAACAGCACAAUCCACUUCGAGAGCCCCUAUCGACAAGUGGGCUUAUGACCUCGAUGUUGGAUCGGGGUAUCCUAGUGGUGCAGCCGCUACUAAAGGUUCGUU
rnacentral:rRNA from 1 species